UCCCACAACACAGUCCCAUAACACAGCCACGGGCCUGUCUUCAGGUUAGUACACAACACAGCCAGGGAUUUAUUGUGAAGGUAGAGGCUAUAUUACAUGGAUUUAUUGUGAAGGUGGGGGCUAUAUUACAUGGAUUUAUUGUGAAGGUAGAGGCUAUAUUACAUGGAUUUAUUGUGAAGGUGGAGGCUAUAUUACAUGGAUUUAUUGUGAAGGUGGGGGCUAUAUUACAUGGAUUUAUUGUGAAGGUAGAGGCUAUAUUACAUGGAUUUAUUGUGAAGGUGGAGGCUAUAUUACAUGGAUUUAUUGUGAAGGUGGAGGCUAUAUUACAUGGAUUUAUUGUGAAGGUGGAGGCUAUAUUACAUGGAUUUAUUGUGAAGGUGGAGGCUAUAUUACAUGGAUUUAUUGUGAAGGUGGAGGCUAUAUUACAUGGAUUUAUUGUGAAGGUGGAGGCUAUAUUACAUGGAUUUAUUGUGAAGGUGGAGGCUAUAUUACAUGGAUUUAUUGUGAAGGUGGAGGCUAUAUUACAUGGAUUUAUUGUGAAGGUGUAGGUAGACUAUAUUACAUGGAUUUACUGUGAAGGUGGAGGCUAUAUUACAUGGAUUUAUUGUGAAGGUGGAGGCUUUAUUACAUGGAUUUAUUGUGAUGGUGGAGGCUAUAUUACAUGGAUUUAUUGUGAUGGUGGAGGCUAUAUUACAUGGAUUUAUUGUGAAGGUGUAGGUAGACUAUAUUACAUGGAUUUACUGUGAAGGUGGAGGCUAUAUUACAUGGAUUUACUGUGAAGGUGGAGGCUAUAUUACAUGGAUUUAUUGUGAUGGUGGAGGCUAAAUUAAAUGGAUUUAUUAAACUUUUUUAAAUGUAGACGUUCCAAUGGUCUGCAUCAGUGUCUUGUAGGCUAUAUGUGGAAGCCAGGAGAUGCUAAAAUGACCGGCAGUUAUUUGCUUCACAAUCACCGGCUGACAACAUGUUGUGACCUCCACAACACUAGUCCACCCUACUGUAAAACUCUCUCGUCACUUUUUGACAACCAACUAAGACUCGAUUUGUCGAACUGGGUGAAAAUCAGCGUUUUCAAUAUACCUCCAUGGUGACUUAAUGAGAACUGCUGAGCGAACAGUAAGGAAACCCAGCCCCAACAGUAGGGAUGAUGUCUAUAAACACUCUAUAGGCUGAAAUGAGAGAUAUCUCUCUGAAUACUGACGAAGUAGUGUGUCGAUUGAUAUGGUACAGAAGGUUUUACAGUAACGUCUUUAUAUUGAAAACUUACAACUAAGAAGUUUUAUGGAAUCUGUGUUCAACUCGGCACAUGUGUGUUACUGCUUGGACUGUCAUUCUUACUUUCCCCAGUUUCCUCCUUGCUGAUAAGUCACAAUACGCAUCAGAUCCAUCUCUACCUUAUCUUCCUGACUACACGAUAAGCAAUCAGCAGAGGAUGAGGACACUACACUGUCAACACGCACAGACACACAUUGUUAGGCUAAGACUGGACUAUAUAGCUACA